rnacentral:misc_RNA from 1 species
CGUCCUCGGCACGACACUGGGGUCGUGGCACCGCCCUUCCCGCCCUCACCCUUCCUGCCCUGGGUGCUGCAGUCCGUGUCCAAGGACUGUUCACCGGACGGCGGUCUCAGGCUGAAAACGAGCGAGUGACAGCCGACCACGAACAUCAACCCCCUCCGACGGCGAGCGCGACGCGGCCCCGUCUCCUCGUCCGAGAGGCCCUGGUUGGCCUGGUCCAGACGGCGGGCCGCAAGCGAGAGCUGGAGAGACUCUUACAGUGGAGCAUCCGCCGCGUCCGGCGGGCCCUCCCCGACAGUGUCGCGGGCGGGAGAAGCAGGCGAAGCAGAGCGCCUUCCUGAAGCCCGUCAUCCUGGAAGACUUUCACCCAGAUUUAUGCCUCGGGUCGAUUUGUCGCGGUGGUUUUCACUGGAUGAAUAAACCGAAUGGUUCGCUGAAGUGGCCGCCACACCGGCAGCACAGCCUACAGUGGUGUGCGAUGGGCUGCCUGCCCACAGGCGCGGCCUGCGUAGCCUGCGCUGUAGCGGAACCGUCUCAGUUCCUUGGGACUCGUGACGUACGCGUAGGGUUCGGCCCCGGGGGAAACUCUCGGUCGAUUAAUAAACGAUGAGCACUGAGGUCGAUUCUUCACCAGGAUAUUCACGCCCAUCACACUUUAGA